UACGUAGGGGGCAAGCGUUGUCCGGAAUCAUUGGGCGUAAAGCGCGUGUAGGCGGCUCGGUAAGUCUGCUGUUAAGGUCCAGGGCUCAACCCUGGGAUGCCGGUGGAUACUGUCGAGCUCGAGUCCGGAAGAGGAGUGUGGAAUUCCUGGUGUAGCGGUGAAAUGCGCAGAUAUCAGGAGGAACACCAAUGGCGAAGGCAGCACUCUGGGACGUGACUGACGCUGAGACGCGAAAGCGUGGGGAGCAAACAGG
rnacentral:rRNA from 1 species